GAUGAACGCUGGCGGCGUGCCUAACACAUGCAAGUCGAGCGACCAGACGAUGAGCUUGCUCCUCUGACGUUAGCGGCGGGCGGGCGAGUAACACGUGGAUAACCUACCUAUAAGACGGGGAUAAUUUCGGGAAACCGGAGCUAAUACUGGAUAAUAUAUUGUACCGCAUGGUUCAAUAGUGCAAGAGGGCUUUGCUGUCACUUAUAGAUGGAUCCGCGCCGCAUUAGCUAGUUGGUAAGGUAACGGCUUACCAAGGCAACGAUGCGUAGCCGACCUGAGAGGGUGAUCGGCCACACUGGAACUGAGACACGGUCCAGACUCCUACGGGAGGCAGCAGUAGGGAAUCUUCCGCAAUGGGCGAAAGCCUGACGGAGCAACGCCGCGUGAGUGAUGAAGGUCUUCGGAUCGUAAAACUCUGUUAUUAGGGAAGAACAAAUGUGUAAGUAACUAUGCACGUCUUGACGGUACCUAAUCAGAAAGCCACGGCUAACUACGUG
rnacentral:rRNA from 1 species